AAGACACUAGUAAAAACGACAUUACAUUACCUUGUCGAGGUAAAAUUGUAGGUUAAACUCCUGCGUGUCUUA